GGUAGUUGACCUGAAAAUUGGAAGUGUGAAUGUGUCAUGUCUGCUUGACACCGGGAGCCAAGUCAGUACAAUUACUGAGCACUUCUUUAAAGAGCACUUGGCAGGUGAAGACAAGGAUAUGCUUCCCACAUCCGGUUGGUUAAGAAUUACUGCUGCUAAUGGAUUAGACAUCCCGUAUUUGGGUUAACUUGAACUACCAGUUGAAACUAUGGGUGUUACCCUGCCUGAGUGUGGAUUCCUGGUGGUUAAAGAUGGACGAAAUUCUUCUGCGGUGCCGGCACUCAUCGGCAUGAAUAUUAUAAGUAGGUGUAGGCAGUUAGUGCAUGCUGAGUUCGAUACUACUUUAGGUGGGGAGUUAGAGUCUGACUGGAGAGAAGUUUUCCAGCAGAUGCAAAGUGUCAGUCGAGCUAAGAAACAGAUUGUUGCACACAUAGCUGGGAAGGAGACAGUGCAUAUUCCUGCUUGGUCAAUGUCGACCUUGAUAGUCAAGGGAAGGGGGAAUAGUUGUUCAGGGGGUUAUUCCAACCUGUUGCUGGAACCAGGGAAGUUUCCCCUCCCUCAGGGUUUGAUAGUGGUACCCUCUCUUGUUUCCACUUCAACACCAUUAUUUCCAGUACGAGUUGUGAAUCUCUCCACAGAGGAUGUAUGGCUGCAGCUUCGUACCAGGCUUGGUAUUCUCUCUCCUGUUGAAUCCUUAAGUUCUGGAGAGGGUUGUGAAGUAAAGUUCCAGCGUGUUGAGGCUGGGGUGGAGGAGAUUACAAUAAGCACAGAAGAGAGGCAAGUGGUGACAGAGGGCUUACCAGACUUCCUUAAUAGGUUGUGUUUGGGUGGAACUGCCGAGCAGCAGGCUGAGCUUAAAGCUUUGUUACUGAGGUACGUGGAUGUGUUUGCAUUAAGUGAUGAGGAAUUAGGGUUUUCUGACAAAGUACAGCAUGAGAUCCAUUUGGUAGAUGAUGUACCAAUAACACAGCCCUACCGUCGCAUUCCACCAACCCAGUAUAGCGAAGUCAGGGAGCAUAUUACUAAGCUGCUCCAGAAGGGGGUAAUUAAGCCUAGUAGUAGUGCGUAUGCGUCACCCAUAGUACUUGUGCGGAAAACUGAUGGGAACUUGAGAUUGUGCGUGGACUACAGGCACUUAAACGCAAAGACAAAGCGAGAUGCUUUCCCCUUGCCUCGGAUCGAUGAGAGUUUUGAUGCGCUGCAAGGUGCGAAAUUCUU
ensembl:lncRNA